UGUGGGUCUGACUCUGGUCCUCAUCGUGCUCCUGUCCUCUGUGGCUGUGCUGAUACUCUGCAAGAAAAGAGCCUCUAAACCCAAAGAACAUCCUGAGGAAACAGAGUGUGUUGAUGUCACAGAGACCAGCCCAGUGUACGAGGAGAUCAGAGAGGGCGACAGACAGAGCAGAUCUCCUCCUGUGGAAAACUCAGUUGAAGCCUCAGGUGUCUACAGCUUGGUCACUGAUACAGCAUCCCGUCCUCUGAGCAAAACUGACGACGACUUAAAUGAACUCGACUACACUGAGGUAGAUUUUUCCAACAGAGCUGCCGCCUCACUCAGCAGCGCCCCCUCUGGUCAUGCCGAUAAUGUUAUCUACUCUACGCCUCAGACACACACUGAUGCCAAAGUAGAGUCACA